rnacentral:rRNA from 1 species
AUGCCGGGCGCGGUGAAGGCCGGGAGCCGGCCGCCGUGGCUUGGGCUGGGGGCGGCCGUGUGGCUGCAGGCGUCGGCGGGGACCAGCUCCGCCUUCGCGCUCUACUCGCACGCGCUCAAGGUGGCGCUCGGCGCCGACCAGAGCCGCGUCGCGCUGCUCGGCGUCGCCUGCAACGUCGGGGACAGCCUCGGCCUCCUCCCCGGCGUCGUCUGCAACAAGCUCCACCCGGCCCUGCUCCUGCUCGUCGCCGCCGCCUCCGGCCUCCUCGGCUACGGGGUCACCUGGCUCGCCGUCUCCGGCGUCGCCCCGGCGCUGCCCUACUGGCUGAUAUGGAUCGCAUUAUGCAUGGGUUCGAACAGCGGUGCGUGGAUGUCGACCGCCGCAUUAGUAACCAACAUGAGGAACUUCCCACUCAGCAGAGGGGCUGUUGCCGGCAUCCUCAAAGGCUACUCUGGUCUGAGUGCGGCUGUAUACACUGCCAUUUACACCGGCGCGCUUCACGGCUCAGCUGCAAACCUCUUGCUUUUUCUCACCCUGGGAGUUGCCAUCGUUUGCCUUCUCGCGAUGUACUUUGUGAGGCCUUGUGAGCCUUCUCUGGUGGAGAAUUCCUCGGAGCGAGUUCACUUCCUGUUCGUACAGAUCAACAGUGCUCUUCUUGGGGUUUAUCUCGUGGUGGCCACGACGUUGGAUCGUUUUCUGACUCUCACCCCUGCUUUGAACUAUUCCUUGAUUGCUAUUAUGGUCAUUCUCAUUCUUGCACCAUUUGCGAUACCCGUGAAGAUGACAUUGUUUCGAAGCGUCCCAAGGAAAGUCACUUCUGCUGCUGCUGACAAUGAUCACACGGAACCAUUUCUUCUGCCUUCUUCCUCUGAACCAAAUUUCGGCAAAAUCAAAGAUGAGGAUGCUGCAGAUAUUGAUCUUCUCUUAGCUGAGGGUGAAGGGGCUGUGAAGCAGAAGAGAAGAAGACCAAAAAGGGGAGAGGACUUCCGGUUCCGUGAAGCUCUGCUAAAGGCAGAUUUCUGGUUGCUCUUUGCAGUGUUUUUUAUAGGUGUUGGGUCUGGAGUCACCGUUCUUAACAAUCUAGCGCAAGUUGGAACUGCAGCAGGUGUUGUUGGCACAACUAUAUCAGUCUCUCUCUUCAGUUUGGGCAACUUCUUUGGCCGCUUAGGAGGUGGUGCUGUUUCUGAUUAUUUUGUCAGGUCAAGGACACUUCCACGGACAGUACUGAUCACAUGCACCCAAGUGGUGAUGAUAAUCAACUACCUAGUCUUCGCUCUGGGUCUCAAAGCCACGCUCUACAUCUCCGUUGCCAUACUCGGCAUCUGCUACGGCGUCCAUUUCUCGGUGAUGGUGUCGACGUCAUCGGAGUUGUUUGGGCUAAAGCAGUUUGGGAAGAUCUACAACUUCAUCUUGCUGGCAAACCCGCUUGGCGCGCUCGUGUUCAGCAGCCUCGCCGGGUAUGUCUACGAUCAUGAAGCGGCAAAACAGCACAGCGUCGCAGCAGUGGCGGGCUCUGACCAUGUCAUGGUAUGCUACGGCCCCAGCUGUUUCAGGCUCACGUUCUUUGUGCUGUCAGGCAUGGCAUGCUUGGGAACGUUUCUGAGCGUGAUCCUGACCGUGAGGAUCCGACCGGUCUAUCAGAUGCUCUAUGGAGGUGGACCCUCGAGCCAGCCCAGGAACUCUGCGCAUUGA